ACUAGAGCUCACUCAACAGCACCAGUGAAACCAUCUGGAUUACUCCGUUUUGCAAGCCUGGACCCCGAAUCCCUCUACCCCUGGCGACCUGACUGCACUUUAUUUAUUGGCGAUUCACUCGUUCAUGUUCCAGACUCACUUGCUGUAAAUAAAACACCUUUUACUGA